rnacentral:rRNA from 1 species
UACGUAGGGUGCGAGCGUUAAUCGGAAUUACUGGGCGUAAAGCGUGCGCAGGCGGCGCCGCAAGUCAGGCGUGAAAUCCCCGAGCUUAACUUGGGAAUGGCGCUUGAAACUACGGUGCUGGAGUGUGGCAGAGGGAGGUGGAAUUCCACGUGUAGCGGUGAAAUGCGUAGAGAUGUGGAGGAACACCGAUGGCGAAGGCAGCCUCCUGGGCCAAACACUGACGCUCAUGCACGAAAGCGUGGGGAGCAAACAGG